CCUUCAAUAGCUCAGCUGGUAGAGCGGAGGACUGUAGAGUGAACAUUGGUCUGCGGGCAUCCUUAGGUCGCUGGUUCGAUUCCGGCUCGAAGGA
rnacentral:tRNA from 1 species